CCACACUGCCACAAAGCUGCUUACUCUGCCCUGGGCCGCCUGAGGCCUGGCACUGCCCGCGGACCACCCUGUGUGUGUCAUCCUGAGGGGCUGUGUGGGUCCUGAGUCCCCAGCCAGCCUUCAGGGUCCCCUUGGAUUGUGUAGAUGCAGUCUAGCGGGGGGCCGGAGAAGGGCUCAGGUGGGAGGGGCCUCAGCAGGCUCCCAGCUCAGGGGCUGGCCUGGGGGGAACCCUGGGAGCCAGGGGCUGACUCCAGCAACACUGGCCUGUCUGCCUGUUCUGGGAGGGCUGUGAGGAUGUCUUGCAGAUGCUCUGGAUUUCUGCGGAGGCACCUCCAUUCCUUUCUGGCUUUUUUUGCGGGGGAGGGCUUUGGGCCUCUUUCUUUGAGGGAACACCGUCAAAGAAAGCCUGGGAGAUCGAGGCUGCAGUGAGCCAGGAUGGAAACGCCUGUCCCAAGGGUCCGGAGCAGGCGGCAGAGGCCUCAGUGCGGCAAACACAGCCCCAGAGCCUGUGUGGCACCAGCAGCAUCUUAGAGCCCCAGCUUCUGUGGAUGACCUCUGAUGAGCCUGGGCUGCGUCCAGGCCCUGGGCAGGUAGGCGGGAGCUUCCCUGCGUGGGCCUCAUUUCUUGCUGCAGAGAAUCUUUUGCACUAAGUCACGCUGUUUCCUCAAAGAAGCUUUGUUUUUUUGUUAACGUAUACUCAGAGUCACCCAAGCCCCUUGGCUGAGGGUGAAGGUGGGACGGGAGGCGGGAGGGGGCUGGUGGUGCCGCUCGUGUGGUGUCAACGCUGCAGGGAGUUGUGGCACUUGGUGCCCUCUGAGCACCUGGCGGCCUGCUGUCCCCGGUGCCUGUGAAAUUCGUCAUGCGAUGACCCACCUGCAUUAAACCUAUUUUUUUAAUGUGUUGAUGGAGUGAUUGCUUAAAGUUCAAUUUGUUUUAUUCUGUUUUGAAGGACAUAAUAAUCACCCAGAGCACCAUAGAAAUCAUCUUGUGUAAGAUGGGAAAGUUUUCCCAAACACUUGUUGCCACGCUGGGGAAGGAGCCCCUGAGGCCAGGGUUCCCCUUAUGGGAAGCUGCCCUGGGGAGGUAGCCUAGCUGACAGGCAAGGAUUUGUCAGCAGGGCAGUCACCGGGACACUGCUGUGCAGGCCGGUGGAGGUUGCAUUCGGCUGAC
rnacentral:lncRNA from 1 species